rnacentral:rRNA from 1 species
AACGAACGCUGGCGGCAUGCCUAACACAUGCAAGUCGAACGAGACCUUCGGGUUUGGUGGCGCACGGGUGCGUAACGGGGGGGAACCUGCCCUUAGGUUCGGAAUAACUCCCGGAAAGGGGUGCUAAUACGGGAUAAAGUACUCGGACCAUAGAUUUAUCGACUUUGGGUGGGCCGGAGUUGGCUUAGCUAGAUGGUAGGGUAAACGCGUACCAAGGCGACGAUACGUAGCUGGGCUGAGAGGAUGAUCCGCGACACUGGUGGUGAGACACGGUCCGGACUCCUACGGGAGGGAGCAGUGGCGAAUAUAGGACUGUGGGCGGAAUGAUGAUCCAGCUAUGCUGGGAGAGUGAUGUAGGUCUGAGGGUUGGAAAGCACGUUUACCCGGGACGAUAAUGACAGUACCGGGAGAAUAAGCUCCGGCUAACUCCGUG